UUGCACUGUAGUUAAAGACAGAAAAAUAAACAGAGGAAGAACACAUACUGUCUUACUUUGCCAGAGCCUGGCUGAUCCACCAGAUUUUCACUCUCUAAGACAGAUUUUGCUGUAUUUGUGCUUUUUUCAUCUCCCCCUGAGGAGUAUUAACUCAAAGCAAUCACAAGACACCCAUCUCUGCCUGCUGCUUCCUGAGCUGCUAGUUAUAUCUUCUUCCUGCCUUACUGCUUCUCUACCCAUUUUAAUCUUUUUUUAACCUAGAGGCUGCCUUCUGCUCCUAAAAUGAUAACCAUUUCAUCUGGAAGAGUCUAAACAUGUAAAAGCAUUUUCAUUUCUGUUGAGUUUACUUUCAUUUACUCUCUCCUUUCUAUUGAAAUCAAGCAGCAUAGAGUACUGUAUAGAGAGCAAAGCCUGCAUUCCAUCCAGUUUGAAGUGUUCUUAAAAUACAGUACUGAAAAAGGAAGAGACACACUUCAAGGAAAUGCCGAGCUGCUCAUGACACCAAAGACGAUGCACAUUUAUGGACUUGGUUUUCUGAGCCAUUUCCAGAAACCUGAAUGGAUUACAAUGCGAUUUUAACAAGGCUGCUGGCAUCCAUCGACAGCUUUCACCUACAGGGGCAGUUAAGAGAUGGAAGAAUGUAAUUAUUUUCAUGUAAGCUAAAUUCCAGUUGCUGAUUGCCAUGAGAGGGAAUGCCCUGAAAACUCUGAUGGUUUAAACUUCUUAAUCACCUGCCAUCAAACAGUCCCUCUGAUGACACCACGGAUCUGAGAAUGAAGAACUUCUUAGAGCUGAUUGGAAAUGGCAUUGCUGAGCUGAAACGUAACUCGAGGAAAUAUAUCUCCCGAAGAAGAAAAUGUAAUGCGUUUUAAGGAUCUGACUUCCGGUGAAAAUUUCAAGCCUAGAGAAAACUUGUCCGCUUUGUUAGAAAGAAUGGGUUGGACAAUUUUCUUCAAUUCCAAAGGAUAUCUGAAUGCCAUGCUGAGCAUAAUCUCUGCAGCAUGCUCUGUGAGUCUCUUCUCUUCCUGAUGCACUGCAUGGUUUGCCUGAGGCAGAGAAUAAAGAAACUGGCCACCAAGAUGGUAAUCACUAGUGGAAAUGAAGAAGAUAAAGGCAAUCAAGAAAAGGAGAGCAAAGAAGAAAGCAUUUUGGCAAUGCUUGGGAUUAUUGGGACCAUUCUGAACCUCGUUGUGAUCAUUUUCGUGUAUAUUUACACAACAUUGUGAACUUUGGCAUACAAAGAGAAUAGACAAAACAACUGUGAAAGGUGACAACAAAAAUGGCAGGUUAUUGACAUGCUGUUUAAUCAGAAUUGACUCUGUACUACAUUAACACAUCAUAAAAGCACUGCCUGUGGGCAGCAAAAGAUGAAGCACAAUUAAUUUAACAAGAAUUUUCCACACAGUAGCGAGUUUACUCUUCUGUCUUGGCCCUAUCCAUGUCUGUUUUUGGUUUGGGGGGAAAUGACUGCAAUUACGUAAGUUUCAGCUUGAAGAAAUCCACCUGGGAUAUGUAGUGUCACACAAUAGAAAGAGACUGUAUGCUAUAUACAGCUAUAUACAAAUGUAUACUAUAUGCUCUCAAAGAUCUAACUCAAAGAUAGCUGCAUAGCACAGCUUUUUUGUCUAUUAGGUCAAACAAUUCCUUUUUUUCUCCCUGACUUUAAUUUUGUUUACACUGAAGCUGACAAGCUUUUUAUUUAGAAGGACCAUAUGGUACAAUCACGGAAAAACAAUUCCAUUGAGCAAGAUCUGCCUGAAAAUGAUGACAUGUUGGGAGAAAUAACUUACAUGAUUAUUUUUCUUUCUCGUUUGCUUGACAUCUGUGUCUGUUCAUACCAAUGUUUAUAAAUAUAUAUUUUUAAUAAAUGUGCUAUAUUUUUAGCAUGAAACAACUA